rnacentral:rRNA from 1 species
CACGUAGGGUGCGAGCGUUGUCCGGAAUUAUUGGGCGUAAAGAGCUCGUAGGCGGUGUGUCGCGUCGGCCGUGAAAACCUGCAGCUUAACUGUGGGCUUGCGGUCGAUACGGGCAGACUUGAGUUCGGUAGGGGAGACUGGAAUUCCUGGUGUAGCGGUGAAAUGCGCAGAUAUCAGGAGGAACACCGGUGGCGAAGGCGGCUCACUGGCCCGGUACUGACGCUGAGGUGCGAAAGCGUGGGGAGCAAACAGG